rnacentral:lncRNA from 1 species
ACCAGGUAGCAUUCCUUAGCGACAUCAGCUGCCCGCACGAAGCCCCAACAAUCGACAAUGCAAUGUGCUUAAGGCUCGAAACGAGAGCGUCCGUCGUUCAUAUUUAGGAAACAAUGGGCUAAUGGAGGAUGAUUUCCGCCCUCCCGCCCGCAUAGCAUUCCGCAUCCGAUAGCACGAGCGACAGUCCAUGGGCCACAACAGCCGAAACAGCAUGUUUGGAACACAGGUACCGCUACAAUGUUCACCCGAUGCCCCAAAGGAG